rnacentral:snRNA from 1 species
GGAUGUGAGGGUGAUAUGGCUACAACAUCUGUCACCCUAUUGCUCAACAGGGUUGAUUCAGCUGGCUAGGUGGUUGUCCCCUUCCUCCCUCACCACUCCAUGUAUGUCCCUCCCGAAGCUGCGUGCUCAGUGGAAGAGUACGGCCUUCCCCAAUAGAGACACACCAGUCUUCGGUAGAGGGUAUAUGAGUAGCUGCCCUCCCCUGCUAGAUCCUCCAAACUAGCUCUCAAGAUUUUGCACUUCAAGUAUCACAUUUUGACUUUUUGCCUAUGUGAACAAAUAGCUUUUUUA